rnacentral:rRNA from 1 species
GAUGAACGCUGGCGGCGUGCCUAAUACAUGCAAGUCGAGCGAAUGGAUUAAGAGCUUGCUCUUAUGAAGUUAGCGGCGGACGGGUGAGUAACACGUGGGUAACCUGCCCAUAAGACUGGGAUAACUCCGGGAAACCGGGGCUAAUACCGGAUAACAUUUUGAACCGCAUGGUUCGAAAUUGAAAGGCGGCUUCGGCUGUCACUUAUGGAUGGACCCGCGUCGCAUUAGCUAGUGGGUGAGGUAACGGCUCACCAAGGCAACGAUGCGUAGCCGACCUGAGAGGGUGAUCGGCCACACUGGGACUGAGACACGGCCCAGACUCCUACGGGAGGCAGCAGUAGGGAAUCUUCCGCAAUGGACGAAAGUCUGACGGAGCAACGCCGCGUGAGUGAUGAAGGCUUUCGGGUCGUAAAACUCUGUUGUUAGGGAAGAACAAGUGCUAGCUGAAUAAGUUGGCACCUUGACGGUACCUAACCAGAAAGCCACGGCUAACUACGUGCCAGCCGCCGCAGUAA